UGAAGGGCGUGCUAAUCUGCGAUAAGCGCCGGUAAGGUGAUAUGAACCGUUAUAACCGGCGAUACCCGAAUGGGGAAACCCAGUGUGAUUCGUCACACUAUCAUUAACUGAAUCCAUAGGUUAAUGAGGCGAACCGGGGGAACUGAAACAUCUAAGUACCCCGAGGAAAAGAAAUCAACCGAGAUUCCCCCAGUAGCGGCGAGCGAACGGGGAGGAGCCCAGAGCCUGAAUCAGCAUGUGUGUUAGUGGAAGCGUCUGGAAAGGCGCGCGAUACAGGGUGACAGCCCCGUACACAAAAGCGCAUGUGCUGUGAGCUCGAUGAGUAGGGCGGGACACGUGGUAUCCUGUCUGAAUAUGGGGGGACCAUCCUCCAAGGCUAAAUACUCCUGACUGACCGAUAGUGAACCAGUACCGUGAGGGAAAGGCGAAAAGAACCCCGGCGAGGGGAGUGAAAAAGAACCUGAAACCGU
rnacentral:rRNA from 1 species